rnacentral:rRNA from 1 species
GAUGAACGCUGGCGGCGUGCCUAACACAUGCAAGUCGAACGGAGAUUACGGACGGAAGUUUUCGGAUGGAAGCCUGUAAUUCUUAGUGGCGGACGGGUGAGUAACGCGUGGGCAACCUGCCCUAUACAGGGGGAUAGCAGCUGGAAACGGCUGGUAAGACCGCAUAAGUCGGUUAAAUCGCAUGAUUUGAUCGGGAAAUGAGCAAUCAGGUAUAGGAUGGGCCCGCGUCCGAUUAGCCAGUUGGCAGGGUAAAAGCCUACCAAAGCGACGAUCGGUAGCCGGACUGAGAGGUCGGACGGCCACAUUGGGACUGAGACACGGCCCAAACUCCUACGGGAGGCAGCAGUGGGGGAUAUUGCACAAUGGAGGAAACUCUGAUGCAGCGACGCCGCGUGAGUGAAGAAGUAUUUCGGGAUGUAAAGCUCUAUCAGCAGGGAAGAUGAUGACGGUACCUGACGAAGAAGCCCCGGCUAACUACGUG